GGAGGAAAGUAGGGGAUCGCAAGACCUCAUGCUCGUGGAGCGGCCGAUAUCUGAUUAGCUAGUUGGUAGGGUAAAAGCCUACCAAGGCAUCGAUCAGUAGCUGGUCUGAGAGGACGACCAGCCACACUGGAACUGAGACACGGUCCAGACUCCUACGGGAGGCAGCAGUGGGGAAUUUUGGACAAUGGGCGAAAGCCUGAUCCAGCAAUGCCGCGUGAGUGAAGAAGGCCUUCGGGUUGUAAAGCUCUUUUGUCAGGGAAGAAACGGUGAGGGCUAAUAUCCUUUGCUAAUGACGGUACCUGAAGAAUAAGCACCGGCUAACUACGUGCCAGCAGCCGCGGUAAUACGUAGGGUGCAAGCGUUAAUCGGAAUUACUGGGCGUAAAGCGUGCGCAGGCGGUUUUGUAAGUCUGAUGUGAAAUCCCCGGGCUCAACCUGGGAAUUGCGUUUGAAACUACAAAGCUAG
rnacentral:rRNA from 1 species